rnacentral:tRNA from 1 species
GGGGAAGUAGCUCAAUUGGUAGAGCAUCACAAAUUUUCACCUUGAAUUCAUAGUUCAUAGGUUGGUUUCUUGCUGAAACAAAGAUCGAGGUUCGAUUCCUCGCUUCUCCA